UACGGGGGGGCAAGCGUUGUUCGGAAUUACUGGGCGUAAAGGCUCGUAGGUGGCCAACUAAGUCAGACGUGAAAUCCCUCGGCUUAACCGGGGAACUGCGUCUGAUACUGGAUGGCUUGAGUUUGGGAGAGGGACGCGGAAUUCCAGGUGUAGCGGUGAAAUGCGUAGAUAUCUGGAGGAACACCGGUGGCGAAGGCGGCGUCCUGGACCAACACUGACGCUGAGUGAGCGAAAGCCAGGGAGCAAACGGG
rnacentral:rRNA from 1 species